rnacentral:rRNA from 1 species
UACGGAGGGGGCUAGCGUUGUUCGGAAUUACUGGGCGUAAAGCGCGCGUAGGCGGCUUUGUAAGUUAGAGGUGAAAGCCCGGAGCUCAACUCCGGAAUUGCCUUUAAGACUGCAUCGCUAGAAUCAUGGAGAGGUGAGUGGAAUUCCGAGUGUAGAGGUGAAAUUCGUAGAUAUUCGGAAGAACACCAGUGGCGAAGGCGGCUCACUGGUCCCGGUACUGACGCUGAGGUGCGAAAGCGUGGGGAGCAAACAGGG